GCUCUGUCUGCAUCCAGUCCCUUUCCAAGUCCCGUUGGCUCUCAUCCCUGAAAGUCUGUUAGUGUCUUUAAGCGAACUCUCCCUCCACAUCUGGAGCAGAUGCCUUGGCUCCUGCAGCAGGAUCCAAGCUGCUGGUCCUGGCCAUGUCCUGUUGCUCAUCUGUGUUUGCAUCAAAAGUACCUUCUAGACUUCUCUCUACUACCAGCCCUAAGAAGAGUUCCAUUCACCCUAGAAGAGCUAAGUAUCCACCCAACUGAGUAUACAAACUGCCAACACUGUUCUUGGCUUGACAGGUUUGCCUCCACUUAGUCACAGAUGUUCCAUAAAAACGUCAAAGAGAGGAAAGCUUAUCGACACUAUAAACACAAAACAAACAAAACCCCUUUUUAGCCAGGACCUGAUAAGGAAACAGGAGCAUUCUGGAACACAUUGAUGUAAUAAUGUGAAGCAUGAAAGCACUUGGCAUUUGGAGCAAGGGGAUGUCACUGUGAGCGAAACUUUAAUGUGUGUGACCCAGGAUGGCAUCUACAGUCUCUAUGCAGAGAGAGAUGGCUGGCUCCACGGAGAGAUGUCCUGGCCUUCCCUUCUCUUCUCCAUAAGAUACCACAGCCUUCCUACAGUCAGUGGGAGCUACAUAUACGACCCACUAUGGGAUGAAGUGGCACCCUCACCAGCAGGCCUUUGGCAGCUCCGAGGACCAAGUCAAGCCAGGAGAGCAAAAUAGUUGGUCUGGAUGUGGCUGAGGUGGCGAGCGAGACUACGUUCCAGUUCCCCUUGGCUCAAGACUUCUUGUAUUGCAGAAAUCAAUUUGUAAACCUUCUUUCCAUCACUUGCAGCCCAAAGCCCUAGGUAAACCUGGCACAUGGA
rnacentral:lncRNA from 1 species